rnacentral:tRNA from 1 species
GGGGAUGUGGCUCAGUGGUAGAGUGCUCACCCAGCAUGUUUGAGGAACUGGGUUCAAUCCUCAGCACCACA